GGGAGUAUGACGUAAGGGGUAACGUACUAAGAGCACGUGCGUAAUAAACUUAGGUAUAUCGGUUCGAAUCCGGUUGCUCCCA
rnacentral:tRNA from 1 species